GACAGAGGGGGCGAGCGUUAUCCGGAAUUAUUGGGCGUAAAGCGUCCGUAGGUGGUUUGGCAAGUCUGGGGUUAAAGCCCGGAGCCUAACUCCGGAUCGGCCCUGGAAACUGCCAGACUAGAGUAAGGCAGAGGUUGCCGGAAUUCCCGGUGUAGCGGUGAAAUGCGUAGAUAUCGGGAAGAACACCGGUGGCGAAAGCGCCCAACUGGGCCAUUACUGACACUGAGGGACGAAAGCUAGGGGAGCGAAUGGG
rnacentral:rRNA from 1 species